rnacentral:rRNA from 1 species
ACGAACGCUGGCGGCGUGCUUCACACAUGCAAGUCGAACGGAAAGGCCCUGCUUUUGUGGGGUGCUCGAGUGGCGAACGGGUGAGUAACACGUGAGUAACCUGCCCUUGACUUUGGGAUAACUUCAGGAAACUGGGGCUAAUACCGGAUAGGAGCUCCUGCUGCAUGGUGGGGGUUGGAAAGUUUCGGCGGUUGGGGAUGGACUCGCGGCUUAUCAGCUUGUUGGUGGGGUAGUGGCUUACCAAGGCUUUGACGGGUAGCCGGCCUGAGAGGGUGACCGGCCACAUUGGGACUGAGAUACGGCCCAGACUCCUACGGGAGGCAGCAGUGGGGAAUAUUGCACAAUGGGCGGAAGCCUGAUGCAGCAACGCCGCGUGCGGGAUGACGGCCUUCGGGUUGUAAACCGCUUUCGCCCGUGACGAAGCGUGAGUGACGGUAAUGGGUAAAGAAGCACCGGCUAACUACGUG